CCGGAGCCCGGUGGACGUAGCGCGAAAGGGCUCUUCAGAUUAGCGGCAAAGAUCUCGGUCCAGCGGUUUGGGGAGAAAAUAUUACCCCACCCACCAUUAAGCGUUCUGUCGCAAAGGGAAAACUCGAUAUGACGGCGAACUCAAUUCUCCUGAAGAGGGAACGUUUUAGAAAUUACUUUAUUGAUGCCACAUUUGAAGUGCUUGAGCAGAGGAUCUGGUGAUGCAAGUGCGUAUGAAAGACUGAGUACAUCUUAGAAGGAGCUUUUGCUUUGUCAGAACCUGCUAUAUUCUACAUAAUCCACCUGUCAUGAAGGUGCUGCCCAUUUCCCAAUGAUCACUGCAAAAGGAAGAGAAAACAGGACAAUAAAAAAUAGAAAGGCUGGAACAAAAGUUUCUCUCUGUACAUACAUCAAGAAUAAUGUUAACAAUCCUGCAAUUUAUUAAGAAGCUAAUGGAAUCAUUAUCUGAACUAGGAAAAUGCAAGCAAAAGAACUUAAGUGUUAUUAAGGCUUGGAAGCUAAAGAUAAUAACUUACAUAAUGUUGUAUAAGUGCAAGUAAUGUAUAUUUCUACAAGUGAGAGUUGACUUCAAUAUGUUGCUACUGUUGAAUUCUCCAUGAUAUCUUUGAGAUCACUGAUGAAUAAAAAUUUAC